UACAGAGGUCCCAAGCGUUGUUCGGAUUCACUGGGCGUAAAGGGUGCGUAGGUGGCCAGGUAAGUUUGGUGUGAAAGCUCGGAGCUUAACUCCGAAAAGUCAUUGAAUACUAUGUGGCUGGAGGGUCGGAGGGGAGACUGGAAUUCUCGGUGUAGCAGUGAAAUGCGUAGAUAUCGAGAGGAACACCAGUGGCGAAGGCGAGUCUCUGGACGACUCCUGACACUGAGGCACGAAAGCUAGGGGAGCAAACAGG
rnacentral:rRNA from 1 species